GUUUAAUUUGCUUCAAGCUCUGAGAACUCGCGUCCACGUUACGCGUGUAACAAACUCGGACAACGUAGUUUCCUCGCGAUGAAUCACAUUAAGGAUCGUGUGGCUUAAAUCAAUUCCUCUAUUUACUUAAGUUAAUUCGAGCGCGCCGGUCACACGUUCGAUCGGUACUCGUUACGGUAAUCUCGACAACCGCGAUCGUUCUUCAUUGGCACCGGUGAUGACACUGAUUCGCCGUAAUAACAGAGCCUAAUUCUGACCGGUCGAUCAGCUCAAUUGUCAAACUACGUACGCGACACAAAUCGGCUGGAUACGAGAUAAACGGUUCGUGGCGGAGAAUGAAGAAAUCUUACGAUGUUGCAAGGCUAUUUGCGAGGGGCGUCGUUAUUAGUUUAACCCUCUAUCGAUCAGCCAUCGUAUAACGAGCGCGACCAUGCGUAGCAGCAUUCAUAAUCGGAUACCAUGCGUGCCGGCGAAUCGGUGAAUCGCAUUCUUUCGUUGUGUUGCCAUUGGAAUUUAAACACGCAUGGAGCCAAACAAAAGGAAAGAGCGCAAUUAAAACGGGAUUUAGGAUUCCUACGAUUGUAUACGUUGAUCUCAAACAGGAUGAAAUAAAGUGGAGAAACGUCAAGACAGAGGUUUCAUUUUAUUUUAGAUUUCGUAUGAUGGGUACAUUGCAUGCUUGGAUUUUACUGUUAAGAGAUAAUCGCCUUAGUCGCGCUUCACUUUUUAAGCGAAUCGAGGCAUCGCUGACAAAGAAGAGGCAGGGGAAGAGACGAGAUAGAGAAGUUAAAACGUGACCAGGCAUUAGAGGUUGCCUGUCAUGAAAAUGAUUCAUCGGAAGUCGGAGCACGACCGAUCGAUCCUGCAAGAUAUUAACGACAUUCGCGCGCCCCGAAUUCUCAAAUAUUGACCAGGAUAUACCAGGACAUAGAAACCACCUGCACUAUCAUGCUCUCCCAUGCCAGUACUUUUUUCCCUCUUUAUUCCUACUCUAUCCAAAGCGCCAGGUGUUUUUCAAUCAUGCUCGUGUAUUAUGUAUUCCAUGUACCAGCGUUUUGAAGGAUAGAGGUUGAAUAUCGCAGGUUAGUAUUUUAUUACCAGGCUGCGGUUGUCCGUGCAUUUAUGAGAAACAUGCAAAAAUGCAGAGAAUGUAUAUGCGUAAUAUGAAGAAACAUGUAUACACGGUGUGCAAGCUAAAGUACGUAUUUGUUAUAAUAUUUAAGGAAUAAAGUAUAUUUCGUAUUUCACCGUUA